GAGGCAGGCCAGGGAUCAAACCCGAAUCCUCAUGGCUACUAGUUGGGUUCGUUACCACUGAGCCACAACGGAACUCCAGUAUUUGGAUAUUCUUUAGGUGAAUAUUUGGAAAUAUUUCUGGCUCAUCAAACAGUCUUAAUUCCAGAGAGACAUCCAGACAGAACAUCUGCCAUAUGACAUCAGACUGAACGCAGCCAAUCGGAUGGGUGAAAGGCAGAAAUUACAGAAAAGUCACGGCGGGGACUCAAGUAUUCUUGCUAGCCCCGGCAACCACAAGUCUGUUUUCUAUGUUUGUGAGUCUGUUUUUA